GCCGUCGCUCGCUCCUUCCUUCCUCACCCUAGCCCCAAUCCACAGCCCCACGCCCCUCGCUCCUUCCUUCCUCACCCGCCGCCGCUCCCUCCCACCUCCUCCUCCUCCUACCCCUUCUGCGCCCUAGGAUCCCCGCCGCCGCCCUGCUGCUACUCCUCCACCGGCCCACCCUGCUGCGUCGCGAGCCCCUAGAAUCGACAAGCAAGCGCCCCGCCGCCGCCGCCGCAGGCGCACGACAAACCGCCGGUGCACGCACACUUGAAGCAUUGUAUAACAUCGAACACAUGAGAGAUGAACUUCUCAGGCGGCCGGCUUAAUCGGAGUGAGGCGAUGCUUGCCUUGCUGAUCGAUUCAGGUCUCCUCCCAUGCAGAUAUAGGCUCCUUGCUGCGGUGCUGGAGAGACGCGCAGGAGCAUGGAGUGGUUUGGCUGUUAGAUCCAUCGCCAACUCGAGCGAACACCAUACUGGGCAGGUGCCAUGGUGGCCGGUGCUUGCGUGGCGGGCAGCAGCCUCUGGCUGCUGAUCGUCAGCGUCAUAGGAGCCCCCUCACUCCAGUGCAUGUGUGCCACUGAACCAUUCCUGUAGCUCAAAGGACACUCCAAUCAUAAGUGCCUUCCGUUCAUGCUACUAUCUUUGCCCCCUUUCUUAUCUCUAGAUUUGGCCAGUCCUUUGUUUGAUGAAAUGCGCAAAUCAGUUUUCUUCUUUGGAUCUCUAUGUAUGCAUUCCCUUAAGUCUCCAAUUCAUGAAAGCGAACAUUGAAAAUGUGCAUGUAAUUAUCGGCAAAUACAUCAUGAAAUAAUAAUUGUCUGUAACUUUAUUAAGGAUCUAUUAUUUAGCUACAUAUAGCAGAUAAAAACAUUUAGUGUAUCAUGUAUUUUCUCCCCACACUAAAAAUUUCUAGAAUUUCCCAUGCCAAAAUAUCAAAACGUUGUAUUGUAGUAUGUGUCCUCCCUUUCUGCCAAAGAAAACAAAGUGCAGUUUAAUCAUUCUUUUCUAGAAACAGUAGUAUACAUUUUGUAUGAAUCUACAGUCCCAAAUAUGAACCACACUUAAUUUUCUUGGUUUAACUAUCUACCCCAUCAAACGUUUCGCUCCGUUUGAAGCUCAUUAGACUGCACAAAAACCAUAUCCUGCCGUACUACCCCAGUACUUCUUUGCAAGCCAACUAAAGUUUACCUCUCUUUUAUUGCUAACAAAUAGGUCAAUAGUUGCAAAUUUUAUUGAAGAAAAUUCUAAAUAGACGGGCGCGGCAACGCGCGCCAUCAAUGAUCUAGUAAUUACUAUUAUGGUUCUGUUAUGCUACACCCUUGGGCAUGGGGAACACGAGUAGCUAGUGAUUGAAUCAUCUCUGAAGUGUGAAUUGCAAUGACCCUUGUUUGCCUCUUGAUUAUUAAUCCAGUAUAAUAUGCUACUGUUAAACCCUUGGGCUUAGAAAACCCCAAAAGGUAGUGAUUGAAUGAUCUAUGAACUGCAAUUGCCAGUGCCAUGUUUCUUGACUGUUGAUGAUCAUAAUAUGGUUCUGUUAGGUUUAUAGAACUUGAGAAAGUAUUAGUUGAAUGAUCUGUAAAUUGCAAUUGUCCUUUUCUUUGGUUCACAUAAAGAUUCUAAAGGCUCAUUUACAACUGUAUUUAAUAGUUGGUGGGAUUAUGUAUUCUGAAAUAUUGUUGAAAAUCAUCAUUCAUCUACUACUGGCCACUUAUAAUGAGGAACAUGGUGUAAAAGGUUGUGGUGAACUGUCUAAGAUUUAGUUGUGACGAGAUGUUGCUUUCCUUGUAUUACUGAGUGCCACUUAUUGAUUAACGAUAAUAACUCUUAAUUUGGUUUUGAGCUGUUGUUUCCCCUAGGUUUGCUUCAAUAUUGUUUGGAAGUGCAGACCGCUCACUGAGGAUGAAUUUUUUCCUGCCAUUGAAGAGAACUACUAUAUCUCAAAGAAGUUCUACUUCGACCUUUCCUACCAGCAGUGUGUGCGCAUGCUCAACAGUCGAUGUUAAGAAGCGCUUCCUUCAUGAGCUUAGUUUGAUUUGGCCCGGUUUUGAUGCCUCUGCAGUGUGUGCGCAUGCUCAACAGCAUGCCGAAGCAGGCGAUGUGUCAUGUCCCGCGCGGCAGCCUCCCCGAUCCGCCUCGGCACCCACAUCAAGUCCUCUCGGUCUACCUCCUCCAUCAUGUAGCAUGGCUUUGAGCGGCCAGGUGUCCCAGAUUGACAGCGACGGCGGCAUGAGGGUGUGAUAAAAUAAUAAUUAGCAGUAACAUGAACUAAUAUGAGGUUUAGCACCAGGGGUAACUUUAUGCAAUCACACUUAGUAAGUAGCAUUUUCUGUUGCUCUAUGAUUUUUAUGUGGGUAAUGGUGAUCUCUAUACAGACUAUAGAUGAUGUUAAAGUACAUGUCACACUGAAAAAGAACAUGCCUGAGAUAAGGCCAUGGAACCUUCAUUUGGUGCAUACUAGGGACAAGAAAUGCUAUGCUAUAAAAGGUUUUUGAGCAGAGGUACUAGCAGUUGGAUGCUCCAUGCCACCACUUUGGUUAAUUGCUUGCAA